rnacentral:rRNA from 1 species
UACGAAGGGGGCUAGCGUUGUUCGGAUUUACUGGGCGUAAAGCGCACGUAGGCGGAUCGUUAAGUCGAGGGUGAAAUCCUGGAGCUCAACUCCAGAACUGCCUUCGAUACUGGCGAUCUAGAGUCCGGAAGAGGUGAGUGGAACUCCUAGUGUAGAGGUGGAAUUCGUAGAUAUUAGGAAGAACACCAGUGGCGAAGGCGACUCACUGGUCCGGUACUGACGCUGAGGUGCGAAAGCGUGGGGAGCAGACAGG